rnacentral:rRNA from 1 species
GUGCACCAGGCGCGAAAACUCCGCAAUGCGCGAAAGCGUGACGGGGGGACCCCAAGUGCCGCUGUACUUUGUACGGCGGCUUCUCAGGAGUGUAAGGAGCUCCUGGAAUAAGGGCUGGGUAAGUCUGGUGCCAGCCGCCGCGGUAAUACCAGCAGCCCAAGUGGUGGUCGCGUUUAUUGGGCCUAAAGCGCUCGUAGCCGGGCCGGUAAGUCCUUUGUGAAAUCGGACGGCUUAACCGUUCGGCUUGCAAGGGAUACUGUCGGCCUUGGGGCCGGGAGAGGUCGGAGGUACUCCGGGGGUAGCGGUGAAAUGCUGUAAUCCCCGGGGGACCACCAGUGGCGAAGGCGUCCGACCAGAACGGACCCGACGGUGAGGGAUGAAAGCUGGGGGAGCGAACCGGAUUAGAUACCCGGGAGUCC